GGACUACAGGGGUAUCUAAUCCUGUUCGUUACCCAAGCCUUCGUCCCUCAACGUCAGUUAUUAGAUAAAAGGUUGCUUUCGCCGUUACCAGUCCUUAUGGUAUCAAAAAAUUUCAACUCUACUCCAUAAAUACUCCCCUUUUCAUAUAUAACUCUAGUAUAAUCGUAUCCUAUUUAAGACUAAUUAUACCGUCUAGGUACCCUUUAAACCUAUUAAAGAUGAAUAACACUAGUCUUCUACGUAUUACCGCGGCGGCUGGCAC
rnacentral:rRNA from 1 species